CGAUAAAUAUUUCAUGGUAUUUAUAAUUCAAACAACUGGUAGCCUUAGACCAGGAUUAACCCUGAUUCUUAAAAAGGAUCUUAAGAUAAAAAGGAAUUUAAAUAAAUGAAAAAUAGUAAUUAGCUUAAGAGUUAGAUCUUAAUUAAGAAUGGGAAGAAUCAGAUAUAGCGGGACACGUGUAAGAGAACCAGCGUUUGAAACACAAGUCUCUCUCUCUCCGGUUGAAACAUGCACAACCCAAUUCAUUCCACCUCUCUCCUCUUCCUCGUUUGAUUUCUCGACGAUUCAACAGAAUCAGUCGAUUGAUCUCCUCGACGAUCCAAGACUCCGGCUCGCUGUCUCUGUGCAUGUGAUUGACGAAGAAUCACUCCGGUUCUCUGUCUCUCUCGAGGAGGAUAAACUCCGACUCUCUCUCUCUCUCGGUGGAUCUCCAGUUGAAGCUCAAAAGCGACGGCGGCUCUCUCUGUGUCUCUCCCGACGAAGAAUCACGCCGUCUCCAUCUCCGCGGCUCUGAUCGAGGGCGGAUCACGCCGUCUCCAUCUAUGCGGCUCUGAUUGAGAAAGAUCACGGCGUCACUAUCUCGGCGGCUCUGAUUGAGGGUGAAUCACGGCAUCUCUGAUUGAGGGUGAAUCACGAUGUCUCUCUCGGCGGCUCUGAUUGACGGUGAAUGACUGAGUCUCUGAUUGAGGCGGCUCUGAUUAAGGGUGAAUCACUCCUCCUCUAAAGCUAAGUUAUUUUGUUUAUAUGUUCAUUCAUCUUCAAUGCAUUCAUGCCUUAGUUGUGAUGGUUUAUGUCUAUUUGAUUGAAUUCUUUCAUUCCGUUUGACAUUGUUUGACAUUGUUUGAGUAAUUCUUUCCUUUUGUUUGACAUUGUUUCAGUGUUUGUGUGUUAAGACGGAGUGAUCAAGAGCGUGGAUCAAGAGACAUGUCUCGGUUCUUCAAUGAAGAGGAGUACAACUUCAAUAAAGUGUCGAACUAUCUUCCUCUCAAGUCCCUUAUUCUGGAACUCAAGCUCACGAAGCUUCAAAUAUCGCCAAUAUGAUGGGUGUUCGAACUAGAAUUCGUGAUAGACAAAUGCAUCAACAACUGAAAGCUGAUUUGGUUGAACAUAUAUGGUGUAAAUUCGGACGUGAUGAAGACAACAACUGAGCUCCGAUGUUUCUUUGAAAUUGUUCUCGUUUAUUGUACUAAUCUAUGUUUAAAUGUUUUUUUUAAUCUAUGUUUUAAAUGUUGUCUUUUAAUAUGUUUUAUUUCAUAAAUUUUUUUUAUCUUUAAUAAAAUUUAAAAAAAAAAUUUAAGAAUCACAAA